rnacentral:rRNA from 2 species
GACCCCAGGUCAGGCGGGAUUACCCG